rnacentral:rRNA from 1 species
ACGGGAGGCAGCAGUGGGGAAUAUUGGACAAUGGAGGCAACUCUGAUCCAGCGACGCCGCGUGAGUGAAGAAGUAUUUCGGUAUGUAAAGCUCUAUCAGCAGGGAAGAUGAUGACGGUACCUGACUAAGAAGCCCCGGCUAACUACGUGCCAGCAGCCGCGGUAAUACGUAGGGGGCAAGCGUUAUCCGGAUUUACUGGGUGUAAAGGGAGCGUAGGCGGCCAGACAAGUCAGGUGUGAAAACCCGGGGCUUAACCCCGGGACUGCACUUGAAACUGCCUGGCUGGAGUGCAGGAGAGGCAAGUGGAAUUCCUAGUGUAGCGGUGAAAUGCGUAGAUAUUAGGAGGAACACCAGUGGCGAAGGCGGCUUACUGGACUGUAACUGACGUUGAGGCUCGAAAGCGUGGGGAGCAAACAGGAUUAGAUACCCUGGUA